GAUGAACGCUGGCGGCGUGCCUAAUACAUGCAAGUCGAGCGAAUGGAUUAAGAGCUUGCUCUUAUGAAGUUAGCGGCGGACGGGUGAGUAACACGUGGGUAACCUGCCCAUAAGACUGGGAUAACUCCGGGAAACCGGGGCUAAUACCGGAUAACAUUUUGAACCGCAUGGUUCGAAAUUGAAAGGCGGCUUCGGCUGUCACUUAUGGAUGGACCCGCGUCGCAUUAGCUAGUUGGAGAGGUAACGGCUCACGAAGGCAACGAUGCGUAGCCGCCCUGAGAGGGUGAUCGGCCACACUGAGACUGAGACACGGCCCAGACUCAUACGGGAGGCAGCAGUAGGGAAUCUUCCGCAAUGGACGAAAGUCUGACGGAGCAACGCAGCGUGAGUGAUGAAGGCUUUCGGGUCGUGAAACUCUGUUGUUAGGGAAGAACAAGUGCUAGUUGAAUAAGCUGGCACCUUGACGGUACCUAACCAGAAAGCCACGGCUAACUACGUGCCAGCAGCCGCCGUAA
rnacentral:rRNA from 1 species